GCCAGUGUGGUGUAGUGGUUUGAGUGUUGGACUAUGACUCUGGAGACCAGGGUUCUAGUCCCAGCUCGGCCA